rnacentral:lncRNA from 1 species
CCUGAUUUCUGGCCAGGGCUCCUUAAUUGUGUCUCUGGGUAUAGUGGUCUUGGCACAGCAGCAGGAAGGGGAGCACCAAGGUGUGAUGUGAAUAAGACCACACACCACAGCACAGUUGGCAAUGUGGAAGCUUGGCCAUUCUAUGAGAGAAACCCCGCUGGCUGCACAAGGAGGGGGAGGAGGACUGGGGGGACUUGGAUGAUGUUUUCCUCGAUACUCGGCUGUAAUGCUGGCUUCUCCUUAGGCCUCCUGACUGAACAGAG